ensembl:lncRNA
GUCUGGACUGUAUGGGGACCCUGAGCGCACCUCCCUGACGUUGACAAAGCGCUAUGGGUGUAUUUGGCAACUGUCCUCCCCCCACCUCCCCUCGCAGCUACCUGCUCAACACUUCAUCAAAACCACAGGCACCAAAAUGGCGAGGGAUCCAUCAACUCCCCACGCUGAAAGAUGAUGUCAUCAACGAGGAUCGUCUCCCGGGGACUGUUGCUGAUGGCCGACAUGGAUCAGAACCUCAGAGAGUGUGUAGCCGACAGCACUGCAGUGGGAAACAAGAAUGACACUGCAUCCACUACGCCAGGGGUCCCAAACUCAAAUCAGAUGGAGUGAUGUCCUGACCAGCCCUCGACCCCCCCUCCCCUUAGCUGCUCCAGCUUGUUUCAGAGGCCAAGACCGAGGGAAUCCUGGAAUCAGGAGGCAGGCAAGCGAGACUUGGUCCAGGUAAAAAAUAAGUUUUCUUUAUUUGUAAAAAAAAAAGGAAGGUUUCUGAUACACGUCUCAUUAAACAGAUAAACAACCAAACAAACCUAAUUCAUUGACUGAAUCAACUCCACAUAACCUCAUCUAAUACGUGCCCUCAGCUACAUGGAGGUUCCACCAUUUCCCCUCAACAGAGGAGUCAACAGCCAGCGGCUUGGAGUCAGCAUACAGAGAGCUCCAGCCCAGCCAGCCGCUGAGAGCUGCCAUCCGCAGGAACAGAGACCUUGGCAUGGGACAGUGUUGAAGCUCACUUGGUCCCCUCCUCCAGCCUGGAGCCCUGUGAGUUCUGCUCAGUGGAGGAGAGAAGAGAGUCCAGCCGAACAGGAAGCUUUGCUUGUCGGGCCCUGAGCGUGCGAAGUGUGUACUUGUCGGCGUGCAUACAUUGUUGUGUCACUUUGUCUGCACCAAUGCACGUAAUGUCUUGUGUCUGAGCACAGCACCAACUCCAGCAAGAUGUAUAAUGUUGCACGCAAUGCGAAUGGGGAUUCUGUCGCUGACUGGGCCUCACACACAUUUAAAAUAAACGGCUCCCACCGAGGAUUACUAUUGAUUCGUGUGGGGCUCUCAAAGAGAAAGAGAGACAGAGUACUCAACUUCCUCUCUCUUCUAGUCUUCUGAGGAAUGCUAUAUGUCUGCCUGUCUGCAGAAAAAGUGUUUGGGGUGAUUUGAAAAAACACUCCACUAAACUGUUAUAUUGACAAAUCACUACAAGGUGUCUUUCAGAAGUAUGAGACAAAGUGUGUGUUUGUUUGCGGUGUGGUAAGAGGAAGAGGGGGGAUUGAAGAAGGAAAGAUCAUGACACCCCCUUUUACAUUUCCCUCUCUGAACUAAGUCAAAACUGUUGCUUGUCAGAGUUUUUUUAGACAAAAGGGACUAAAAACUGAAAAAAACACAAGGGGAGACAGGACAGAGAGAGAAAAUAAAGAGGAUGUUUGAUUGACAGCCAAUAGGCCUGCUUGUCUCCUGUCACACACAUGAUUGCUGACCGACCCCUCUGCCCGGCUGAGGCCUCUGGGUAGACAGGCCAGAAUUACAGCCCCAUUUAGAGAAUGAAGGAUCAUGAAUGCCUGGUAGCCUCCCAGGCCGCUCAUUGUCUCUGGGAUGUGUUGCGGCAACCCGGGGGACGUAGAGGCGACAUUUAAGAAUAAAAUAAGAGACUCAGACACUAAUUAAAAAGUGUUGGUAACACAUUCUGUGUGGACAAAACAGUGGAGAGUGGAGGUGAGUUGGUUAGGUUACCUCCUGUUCAAGGUUGCUUCUCUUGAGUCGCUGCUCCGAAUCUCUGGCCAACUCACACUCCAUCUUCCCAUCGCUUGCCAAUAGGACCCUCAGAUACUUGAGCUCCUUCACUUGGGGUAAGGCCAUAUUCCAUACCCGGAGUAGGCAAUCCAUCGGUUUUCUGUUGAGAACCAUGGCCAUUUAGAGGCGCGAACCUCUCCAGUGGGAGUUGGAGAUCACAGGCCGAAGAUGCCUUCAGGACCACAUCAUCUGCAAAAAGCAGCAAUGGAGCGACCCUCCCCCCGACUACACCACAAUAUCCUGUUCAUGAAAAUCACAAACAGGACUGGUGACAAGGUACAGCCCUGGCGAAGGCCAGGCCCAAUCGGAAACGCCUCCGACUCAUUGCCAAACACCUGAACACAGCUCACCCUUUGGGCGUAUAGGGAUUGGAUGGCCCCAGGUAGGAACCCCCUCACCUCGUACUCCCGCAGCACCUCCCACAUUAUCUCUCGGGAAACCCAGUCAUACGCCUUCUCCAAGUCCACAAAACAUAUGUAGACUGGAUGAGCAUACUCCCAGGCCCCCUCCAUGAUCCUUGAAAGAGCAAAGACACCACCCCGGUCUGCCAAUCCUUAGGCACUGUUCCAGACUUCCGUGCAAUGUUGAACAGGCAUGACAUCCAAGACAGCCCAUUUCUUUUUGCAUUUCUGGAUGAAUCUCAUCAAUCCCUGGGGCUAUGCCACUGCAGAGUUGUUUCUCAGUGACUUUCACCAGGCAAAUUGACGUUGAACCUUCUUCCGCUUCCAGCUCCGCCUCUACCAAAAAGUGCGUAGUAGUUUAUUCAGGAAUCUCUCAAAGUGUUCCUUUACCGCCCGAUUACCUUCGCAGCUCCGGUCAACAGGGUCCUAUCCUUACAGUACACAGCUUGGAUGAUUCCGCGUUCCGCACUCUGGUUCAAUACCCCUCCUACCUACACAGGAAUGCAAGAGUAGCUCAGCCGGAGGUAUGGAUUGAAAAUCUUUUGGACCGGGGCCUUUUCCAGAAGUUCCCCCGCACUGUGCUUGGGUUUACCAGAUCUAUCCUGAGUCCAUCCUCUAACCCAGAUCACCACCAGAUGAUGGUCAGUUGACAACUCUGCCUCUCUUUACCUGAAACAGUCCUGUCCAAAACAUGAGGCCUCAGAUCAAACAAUACUAUUACUCUAUUGUAUCGAUUGCUCUGGUAACACGUACACUAAUGAUUAUUGUUAUGCUAAACAUGGUGUUUGUUUUGGCCAAUCUGUGACAGAGGUCCAAUAACAAACGACCACUUGGGUUCAAAUCAGGGAGGCCGUUCCUCCAAAUCACUCCUCUCCAGUCAUCUCCAUUGUCGCCCACAUGUGCAUCGAAGUCUCCCAGUAGGACUAUGGAGUCCCCUACUGGGGCCCCUAAGCAGGACUCCACUCAGGGUGUCCAAACAGGCCAAAUACUGGGGGUUGCGGUUUGUUGCACGGAAAACAGAGUUUCCCCCCCCACAACCCGAAAGUGUAGGGAGGCGACCCUUUUGUCCACUGGGGUAAACUCCAAUUUAGCAAUAUUGGACCCACACCAUAACACGACACAGUAGCUAAGCUUUGGGUUACAAUACUGCUUCAGGACAUCAACCCGCGCAAGGAAAUCGUCUUCACACCUAGGUGUGAAUUGUCUUUCUUGGUUAAACUGAGAUCUGAUUAUUCAAGCCUCAGACAACCCAGGGGUCCCUCUGCUGGUGAGUGCAAGGUUAAAGACAGUCUCUUCAAAUCAAUCUUAUCCAAAUUGGCUUGCGUCGAUGGAAGGAUAAAAGGACCGAGCCAAAAUGUUUCGAAUCGACUGGUGUCGAUGACAGGAUUUAGGGUCUCCACCUUUCAGCGGUUUGGCCUCGAUCAGACCUCGUCGGUGGGUUCCUUUUACUAGCUGCUUCCAGCCCAAGCAGCUCAACAACGAGGAAAACUUCCUCUACCAAACUAGCAUCAACUGACUCCACCCUAAAAUAUUUUUUCGGUAGUUAAGAAACAAAAUCCGCAUCCUGUUUGUUGAUACGUCCCGCAGCACCCUGACUAAUGUGCAUAUUAGGUAGUCACAGUUCUGGCACAAUUGGAAUGACAAUAUGUAAAUACAAUGGCCCGCAAUCACAUGCCAUCAUUUAAAUACCUUAUACAGACUGCACGUCUAAAUGGUACAAUGCUCAUUCAGCUGAAUUUGACCCAACUCUUUCCUCUCAAAGGCCAACCAAAUCUGCAACAUCUACAGCCGUAUUCUGGCUCAGAAGCUCACAUUGGGCCGUCGGGCACAGCAUCAAUAAGUCUGACUUUGAUUUUACCGGACAAACCACCGAGCAGAUUACAGUUUUGUUGGCACUUUUUUUUUUUGUUACCCCUGAAAUUACAACAUAUUUCUAAGCUUAACAAUGCCAACUGGCCUCUCUGCCUCACCCGUUUACUCCCUUUCUGUUUUCACCCGUCUCUCUCGAUUCCUCCUCUCUUAUCUUCCUCUCCUUCGCUGUUUUUUGGGGCUCAGAGAUAAGAUCUCCCUCAAUGGCACACUUUGGGCAAUAUCUUAAAGAUCCCUACUGUCACUUCAGCUUAAGCAGCCCUUUGGGCUCUCAGUACACACACCAACACACACACACACACAGCCUCUCACUAAUAAUAGGGGCAGGGAGAGGCAGUUUGGAUUUGAGGACUCGUAAACACACUUCUUUCUUCCAACAAUUCUCUUUGAUCUUUAUCAAACAAAACAGUUUCCUUGGAGUAUUUUGUGCUUCCAUCGCUCAACUUGAAAAAAACUGCAGUGCACUACUCCCACUUCGAUUUCCCCACCCAUAAAUAAAAUGAGAGCACAUUUGGAUUUCCUGACUGUGGGCUUUAGGCCCUUCACUGCCACGUCUGUCAGGUCCAUUAAUUCAGAAGUGUGCAAGCCGGUUCUGCUUAACUGUUUCUCUGGGCAACACGUUAACAUCUCACAACAGUUAAUUUGUAUAUUUAAUCCAAUUGGGUUUAUUUCAAGCAAGGUGCUGUCAUAGUACACAAGCAGUGGUAGAGUUUUAAAAUUAAUUAAAUGGAUCAUCGGUGGGCCUUUUCACCUCCAACAGCAGCCAGCAAAGUGCCUUCUUCUGAGCUGUGCAGCGGCUGUUUAACUAAGAAUCAGUUCAAGCUUUCCUGUUAAGAAUUACCACUUCCUGUGUUGCAGGGAAGAAAAAAAAAACAUGUCCUUCAGUUUCUAGAUCCCAUGGUCCUUAAUGAUCUGAUUUCUGUCUCCCAUAGGCGGGCAGUUGCUAUGGCAACCUGAUGACGCUCUGAGGAAGGACGAGAGGGAGAAAGGGGGGAGGAGGGGUGUAUGGAGAUGAGGAGGAAGGUAGCUGCACCAAAGAUUGUGUGUCUUUCAGUCGAUGACUCACUCGGCUGAUAUUUCUUACAGUUGCAGUCGUUGAUUGUGCUCCACACAGAGGUUCAGUUGCUUAAUUAUGUUGGAGAUUGGUGAAUUUGCGUCCCAGGCGGGUGUCCUAGGUGUUGGUGUCGUGGGGCUGACCUAUGGAUUUUGGUUCUAACGAUGCUUUACGAGAUCAUGGCGUAAGGAUACACAAAGUUAAAAUAAUGAUUAACUAUCUAUAAACAGGUCAGGCAGAACUCAGAAGUAAUCAUGUGCAUAGGAGAUGUCCCCUCCAUCCUCCAUCUAUAAUUGCUCCUACACCCUUGCACGUCUCUUUGCAUCUUCACAAGCCUGCUGUUGCCAUAGCGACCACUGUGUAGAGAGUCAACUUACUGAAAAAAAAAAUCCAAAUUUUACCUUUAGAAAAAUGUAAAAGCAUGUAUGAGCCUUACAUGGAUUGCAUGGAUAGAACAGCAGCUACCCUUGAGUUUUGCUGUUCCACAUUGUGCAACUGUUUGCCUUGAAUGAUUAUUUCAUUUCAGUUGUCUGGAAAGCAAUGCUAUAUGCACUAAAAAAACACACUAAUAAAUAAUUUAUGUAAUUUAGAACAUUAGUUAGUAGUCUGAUUUAGUGUAUUUUGGUGGUAGGAUAGUGUUUGUUGUGUGAAUAUCCCAAAAUAUACAUAAAUAAAAUAUAUAUAAAGAAUUCUAUUAUCUUCUUCAAUACAUUCUUUCUUUUUGUUUUUGUUUAUUUUUAUUUUUUUCUUCUAAAAAAAAACUUGUGUAAUAACGCCAUUCACGCGGGUGAAUCUUCUGGUCAAACGCGUAGACGAUCUUUGUUUGUGUCUUCUGUACACAAUGGCAUUCUUUCAGUGAACUCUGCGGGCGUUAGGACCCGGGGCGGGCGCUGGGGGAAGUCCUGUGCUGCUGGCGGGGCAA